GGGACCUUCCCGGUCUC
rnacentral:misc_RNA from 1 species